CCUACGGGUGGCAGCAGUGAGGAAUAUUGGUCAAUGGGCGCGAGCCUGAACCAGCCAAGUCGCGUGAGGGAAGACGGUCCUAUGGGUUGUAAACCUCUUUUGUCGGGGAGCAAAAGACGCCACGCGUGGCGUUCCGAGAGUACCCGAAGAAAAAGCAUCGGCUAACUCCGUGCCAGCAGCCGCGGUAAUACGGAGGAUGCGAGCGUUAUCCGGAUUUAUUGGGUUUAAAGGGUGCGCAGGCGGAAGAUCAAGUCAGCGGUAAAAUUGAGAGGCUCAACCUCGUCGAGCCGUUGAAACUGGUGUUCUUGAGUGAGUGUGAAGUAGGCGGAAUGCGUGGUGUAGCGGUGAAAUGCAUAGAGAUCACGCAGAACUCCGAUUGCGAAGGCAGCAUACCGGCGUUUAACUGACGUUCAUGCACGAAAGUGUGGGUAUCGAACAGGAUUAGAUACCCCUGUAGUC
rnacentral:rRNA from 1 species